CGGUGGAGCAUGUGGUUUAAUUCGAAGCAACGCGAAGAACCUUACCAGGCCUUGACAUGCAGAGAACUUUCCAGAGAUGGAUUGGUGCCUUCGGGAACUCUGACACAGGUGCUGCAUGGCUGUCGUCAGCUCGUGUCGUGAGAUGUUGGGUUAAGUCCCGUAACGAGCGCAACCCUUGUCCUUAGUUACCAGCACGUUAUGGUGGGCACUCUAAGGAGACUGCCGGUGACAAACCGGAGGAAGUGGGGGUGACGUCAAGUCAUCAUGGCCCUUACGGCCUGGGCUACACACGUGCUACAAUGGUCGGUACAAAGGGUUGCCAAGCCGCGAGGUGGAGCUAAUCCCAUAAAACCGAUCGUAGUCCGGAUCGCAGUCUGCAACUCGACUGCGUGAAGUCGGAAUCGCUAGUAAUCGUGAAUCAGAAUGUCACGGUGAAUACGUUCCCGGGCCUU
rnacentral:rRNA from 1 species